rnacentral:rRNA from 1 species
AGAAUCAACGCUGGCGGCGUGCCUAACACAUGCAAGUCGCACGAGAAAGGGGAGCAAUCCCCCGGUAAAGUGGCGCACGGGUGAGUAACACGUGAAUUAUCUACCUCCGAGUGGGGAAUAACCUAGAGAAAUCUGGGCUAAUACCGCAUAACACUUACGAGUCAAAGCAGCAAUGCGCUUGGAGAGGAGUUCGCGGCAGAUUAGCUAGUUGGCGGGGUAAUGGCCCACCAAGGCGAUGAUCUGUAUCCGGCCUGAGAGGGCGCACGGACACACUGGAACUGAAACACGGUCCAGACUCCUACGGGAGGCAGCAGUGGGGAAUUUUGCGCAAUGGGGGAAACCCUGACGCAGCAACGCCGCGUGGAGGAUGAAGCCCCUUGGGGUGUAAACUCCUUUCGAUCGGGAAGAUAAUGACGGUACCGAUAUAAGAAGCCCGGCUAACUUCGUGCCAGCAGCCGC